GGACAGGUGGCCGAGCGGCUGAAGGCGCUCCCCUGCUAAGGGAGUAUGGGGGUGAUACCUCCAUCGAGGGUUCGAAUCCCUCCCUGUCCG
rnacentral:tRNA from 1 species